GAUACUCGGGAAACCGGAGCUAAUACCGGAUAAUAUUUCGAACCGCAUGGUUCGAUAGUGAAAGAUGGUUUUGCUAUCACUUAUAGAUGGACCUGCGCCGUAUUAGCUAGUUGGUAAGGUAACGGCUUACCAAGGCGACGAUACGUAGCCGACCUGAGAGGGUGAUCGGCCACACUGGAACUGAGACACGGUCCAGACUCCUACGGGAGGCAGCAGUG
rnacentral:rRNA from 1 species